GUGGGGAAUCUUGCGCAAUGGGCGAAAGCCUGACGCAGCAACGCCGCGUGCGGGAUGAAGGCCUUCGGGUUGUAAACCGCUUUCAGCAGGGACGAAAAUGACGGUACCUGCAGAAGAAGCUCCGGCUAACUACGUGCCAGCAGCCGCGGUAAUACGUAGGGAGCAAGCGUUGUCCGGAUUUAUUGGGCGUAAAGAGCUCGUAGGCGGUUUCGUAAGUCGAGUGUGAAAAAUCUGGGCUUAACCCAGUGGAGCACUCGAUACUGCGAUGACUUGAGUCUGGUAGAGGAGUGUGGAAUUCCUGGUGUAGCGGUGAAAUGCGCAGAUAUCAGGAGGAACACCAACGGCGAAGGCAGCACUCUGGGCCAGUACUGACGCUGAGGAGCGAAAGCGUGGGGAGCAAACAGGAUUAGAAACCCCUGUAGUCC
rnacentral:rRNA from 1 species